rnacentral:rRNA from 1 species
GGGGAAUUUUGCACAAUGGGCGAAAGCCUGAUGCAGCAACGCCGCGUGUGUGAUGAAGGUCUUCGGAUCGUAAAGCACUUUCGACCGGGACGAACAACCUCUGGCUAACAGUCAGGGGCCUGACGGUACCGGGAGAAGAAGCACCGGCUAACUCUGUGCCAGCAGCCGCGGUAAUACAGAGGGUGCAAGCGUUGUUCGGAAUUAUUGGGCGUAAAGCGCGUGUAGGCGGCAUAGCAAGUCGGGUGUGAAAGCCCUCAGCUCAACUGAGGAAGUGCGCCCGAAACUGCUGUGCUUGAGUGCCGGAGAGGAUGGCGGAAUUCCCCAAGUAGAGGUGAAAUUCGUAGAUAUGGGGAGGAACACCGGUGGCGAAGGCGGCCAUCUGGACGGUAACUGACGCUGAGACGCGAAAGCGUGGGUAGCAAAC